rnacentral:lncRNA from 1 species
UAUUGAAAAAAAUUAUUCUAUUGUGGAAGAAUUAAAAAAUUACAUUUUCGCAUCAAAGUAAAAUGUCGGAACGAAACCUCCCUUUUUUGCAGUUUAUGCCUAUUUGAAACCGGCACGAAGUGGUUUGACAUCAAUUUUGUGACAAAGUGUCUUUGGUUAUCUCGCCUUGAAUUCAUUGUUAGGAAAACCAAGAUGUACGCAUGGUCGUCUCGUGUCCUUGUGUCUCUUAGGUCUGUCCAGGAAAAGUUAUUAGGUUCUGGACGUACCUACCGGAUUAGGACGUACGUACGUCCACUGAAGCAGCAAACAUCUUUUGGUCAGGACGUACGUACGCAGUUAGGACGUUCGUACGUCCAAGUAGGCAGCAGACGUGUUUUCGUAUGGAGACGUACGUACCGAGUUAGAACGUUCGUACGUCAUGGUAGGCAGCAGGCUUAUUUUUGUGUGGCGACGUUCGAACGUCAUAUCGACGUACGAACGUCCAAAGUCGGUUUGCACUGUUUCGGCCCAUUUUCCUUGGUUUCCAACCCUAAGUAUAAAAAGGGUUUCUCUUCCAAAGAACAAGUCAGUUCUUUGGCCGUCCAUUCUUCUUCUAGUUCAUGUGUUUUGGUUAGGUUUUUGAUAUUGAAAGUGUUUGUGGCUAUUGAACUCAAUUCCCUUCCUUCCCCCUUUUCUCAAUUCAUAUCUUUGUGAUCUUCAAGAGUUAUUGUGAAUUCGGCUUCGAGUCUUCUUGUGUGUUCAUCAAGAAGUCGAGUGUCUUGUGCGUACAUCAAGGUGCUCUGGUGAAGUCAAGGUGUUAGAGAUAACCAGGAGUAUCAACUCGCAGUGAGUGCAGGUAGUUGAUAGGUUUGUACAUCUCUUUUCAUCUAGUGGAUUAUUUUGUUGUCGCGAGGACAACCGUGGACGUUUCCCUGUUUGGGUUUUACCACGUUAAAAAUCUCUAUGUGUUAUUUACUUUCUGCGUAUUGUUUGUUUGCUUGUUUGAAUUCACAUUUGUUAUACUAGCACUAUUUGUAGUUUCUUAAUUGGUAUCAGUCGCUGGGGGCUGGUUAAGGAGCGUAAAGGCUCACGCUAACGAUCAAUAGUGCUAUGGAUUACUCUGGUAAGACACAUGUCUCGGUUGUUGCUCGACUGUCUGAUGAGCAGUCAACUGACAGUAAAGAAUGCUCUAGUAAUUGUGACAGGGAUUUGAUUCUGGUGGACAAUAAUGAUUGGGCUACCCUAUACCGGUUAUCCAGAAAGGAAUGCCUAAGGUUGGAGGCACAAAAUUGUAUUCUUCAGGAUAGACUUGACUUACUGUCUUCUAGUUCCUCAUCUAUGUCAAUCCUGGAUAGGGAACCUGUAUCAUGGCAGGUUGAUAAGGUGGCUUUACUGGGUAAUAUUACUGCUCUUGAGCAUGACAAGGUCGAAUGGGAAUCUCGGUAUAAGAUUGUGUCCACAGAACUAGACAAGGUCAAAAAGGAGCUGAUUCGCUUUCAGUCGUUCGAAAAGUGCAAUGGGUUGUCAUCUUCUGAAUUACCUCCACUGUUGCCCCAUCCUCCUACCAAAAAGUCCGACAUUCAUCACUCUGUGGACACGGUUGGCAUCCGGCGUAAGUGGAAACUGUUCAGGCGUGUUCCGCCUCAGGGAAGGAAACGUAAAAUGCCGUGCUCACUAUGCGGACAGUUUGGACAUUGGGCCUCGCAGUGUGGUGUGGCUGCUCAUGUUCCACAAUCAUGGAAGCCGUUUUCACAACCGUCGUAUGAUUAUCCAUCUUAUCCAUAUGCCUCUUACUCUUUUCCUUGUAACUUUGCAGGAAAUGUUUCAAAUGUGGCGAUUACUGCCCUUCAUGUCUCAAGCUCGGAUAGUGAGUGGUUACUUGAUAGUGGAGCUUCAAAACAUAUGUCAGGUAAUGCCAAACUUUUCUCCUCCGUUACUGCUAUAGAUGGUGGAAGUGUUACUUUUGGGAAUGGUAAGAGCUCUCCUGUGAUUGGUAAGGGAUUUGUCGCUGGUAUUGGUUUAUCUCCGAAUGAUGUUUGUUUGUUAGUUGAUGGUUUGCGUGUAAAUUUGAUCAGUAUUAGCCAACUGUGUGAUACUGACCAUACUGUUAAUUUUUCCAAAAAUAUAUGUACCGUGCUUGAUAGUUCGGGUAAGUGUAUCAUGACAGGUAAACGAACAUUGGAUAAUUGCUAUGCCAUUCAGCCUGUUGCAUCUAGCAUAAACUGCUUACCUAGCAAACUAAAUGAUGGUCUAUUGUGGCAUUAACGACUAGGUCAUGUCAACUUUGAACACCUGGACAAUCUAACUCGGAAUGAAUAUAUUAAGGGAGUUCCUAGACUUGGAAGAAAUCGAGACACUGUGUGUGGUGGGUGUCAACUAGGUAAACAGAUACGCAGUCCACAUUCCAAGAAAAAAUCCAUAACCACAUCUUCUCCUUUAGAACUCAUACACAUGGAUCUGAUGGGUCCUACUCGUACUCCUAGUCUAGGAGGCAAACGAUACAUCUUGGUUAUGGUUGAUGAUUACACUCGCUUUACCUGGGUAUCAUUCUUGCGUGAAAAAUCUGAUGCGUUUCUUGAGUUUCAGGGGAUAUGCCUUCGUAUUCAGAACGAGAAAGAUACUCAAAUUAAACAUAUCAGAAGCGAUAGAGGCGGUGAGUUCACAGCCACAGGUGUGAUUGAGUAUUGUAUUGCAAAUGGUACGUGGCAAGAAUUUUCGGCUCCAUACACUCCGCAACAAAACGGAGUCGCUGAAAGGAAAAAUCGUGUUAUUCAGGAGAUGGCUCGUGCUAUGUUGCAUGCAAAGGAUGUUCCGACCAAGUUUUGGGCGGAAACGGUUCAUACUGCUUGUUACAUAAUGAACCGUGUAUAUCUAAGAUCUGGUACCACACAAACUGCUUAUGAGCUAUGGUAUGGUAAGAAGCCGAAUCUCAAAUAUAUGCGAGUUUUUGGUAGUGUGUGCUAUGUGUGCAAGGACAGACAAAGUCUGUCCAAGUUUGAUAGUCGAGGUGAAGUAGCUCUUUUACUUGGUUAUUCUUCUAACAGUAGGGCCUUUCGAGUGUUUAACUACACCACUCGCAAGGUCAUGGAAUCCUUUAAUGUUGUUGUUGAUGACACUAUUACAUCUGACUCUUCUGUUUCCACUGGUACACAGGAUGUCACAGUUCUCUCACCCGUGUCAGACCCGGCUGACAUGUCUUCCAUAUCGUUAUCAUCACCUGAUAAUGGCAAUGGUGGUACUAAACCUUCUGAUGCUGCAGAGGACGUGCCUAGUAGGACCGGUGCUGUGCUCACACCGGACGAUGUAGUUCAAUCACCAGAGGUGAUUGAUGUGUCUUCAGAUCUCUCCACUGUCCCUGCUGACCCUGAAAGGGUGUUUAAUCUAGCUUCACCUCGUGUCAAACAAUAUCACUCCUUAGGAGAUAUCAUUGGGGAUAUUAAUGAUCAACGUCUGACUCGUCGGAGGGCCAAGGAGACAAAUUGUGUUCAUUAUGUUUGUUAUCUCUCUUCUCUUGAACCUAAAAAUGUUACUGAUGCUCUUAUUGAUGAUGAUUGGCUAGUUGCUAUGCAGGAAGAUCUCGGUCAGUUUAAGCGUAGUGAUGUCUGGACGUUGGUUCCUAGACCUACUCACACUAAUGUGGUUGGCACCAAGUGGAUCUUUAAAAACAAAUUGGAUGAGUUCGGACAGAUUGUGCGCAACAAGGCAAGGCUCGUAGCUCAGGGCUACAGUCAGAUUGAAGGUAUUGACUAUGGAGAGACAUUUGCUCCCGUGGCUAGGUUGGAAUCUGUCAGGCUUCUUAUUGCUAUGGCAUGCCACUUGAAUUUCAAGUUGUAUCAAAUGGAUGUAAAAAGUGCAUUUCUCAAUGGUAUUCUUAAUGAGGAGGUCUAUGUUGAACAACCUAAAGGGUUUGUGGAUCACACUUUUUCGAAUCAUGUCUUCAAAUUGCAAAAAGCACUGUAUGGGUUAAAGCAGGCUCCUCGAGCUUGGUAUGAACGUCUGACCUCCUUCUUACUGGGAAAAGGAUUUGUUCGUGGCAGUGUUGAUCGGACUCUGUUUAUACUGAGAAAGAAUAAUGAUGUUCUUCUCGCCCAAGUCUAUGUGGAUGAUAUAGUGUUUGGAUCGACGUGCCCAAGUCUUUCUGAAUCUUUCUCUCAAUUAAUGAGCUCUGAAUUUGAAAUGAGUUUAAUGGGAGAACUUAAUUUCUUUCUUGGCUUGCAGGUCAAACAGUUUGAUCAUGGAGCUUUCAUUUCUCAAACAAAGUAUGCUAAAGAACUGGUUAAAAAAUUCGGUCUCAGCACUUCCAGUGGUCAAGAUACUCCCAUGGGUGAGAGGGUACGUCUUUGUAAGGAUAUUAUGGGUAAGUCUGUUGAUAUUCGUGAAUAUCGGAGUAUGAUUGGUAGUCUUUUGUAUCUCACUGCUAGUCGUCCAGAUAUUUCUUAUAGUGUUGGGGUAUGUGCAAGAUUUCAGGCUAACCCUAAAGAAUCUCAUCUCAUUGCGGUUAAGCGUAUUAUUCGGUAUGUUGCUAGCACUCUUGACUACUGGUUAUGGUUCACCAGAGAUACGAAUAGUGUUGUGGCAGGUUAUUGUGAUGCUGAUUGGGGUGGUAAUCUUGAUGAUCGUCAUAGUACCAGUGGUGGCUGUUUCUAUGUUGGGAAUAAUCUUGUUUCCUGGCAUAGCAAGAAACAAUCAUCUGUAUCCAUCUCUUCAUGUGAGGCUGAGUAUAUAGCUGCAGCUAGUGCAUGUACACAACUUCUGUGGAUGCGUCAGAUGCUUCGGGAUUAUGGCAUUCAACAGCAGGCGAUGGACCUGUUCUGUGAUAACACCAGUACCAUUAGCAUUUCCAAGAAUCCUGUUCAACACUCACGCACAAAGCAUAUUGACAUUCGUCACCAUUUCCUUCGUGAGGCGGUCGAAAAGGGUGAUAUAGUAAUGGAGUUCAUUCCUACUGAACAUCAGCUAGCAGAUAUUCUUACAAAACCUCUUGAUGCAGGCCGAUUCCAUUCCUUGCGUAAGUCUAUUGGGGUUGUAACUCUUCCCUAAUUGUUUUGUUACUUUCUUUUUCUCUCUGGUAUUGUCAUUGUGGUUAGGAUGUUUAGAUUCGGUGUUUUUGGUGUUUAUUAUUAUUGUGGUUGUUUUUGAGGACAUACUACCUUCUCUAUUGUAUGGAUUCCAUGUUAUUGAUGGUUCUAGUUUGGCAUCCUCAACUGUUUUUGUGUCAUGCAUAGUUGUAGGGUUACAUUAUACUCUCUUCGUAUUGGUAGUUUCUUGGAUGAUGCAUUUCAUGUGGUUGGCUUGUCUUUUUCAAUACCUGCAUAACUCCAGUUUUCUAUGGUUUCUUUUCAUGAUCGUUGUUUUUCUCUUACAUUUACUCACCUCUUGUAAGUGGUCAAUUACUCACAAAAUCCCCAGCCAUGUGAAUGUCUUGAGAGCAUACUCAUUUCGCUAAGAACCCGUUGGGGCUGUGAGGGUCAUGCUCUGACGGAUGCACUCAGGAGAUGUUAGUUCUUGUGUUGCACGUUAUCAUGGUAUUGCACUUCUUGAGUGUGUUUUGCCGAAAAGAUGUAGGCUACACCCUACCCUCGUGUUCUGGUAAAAGAUGGAGAUACUUUAUACUCCCACACGGGAAUGGCAUUGUUUUUUAACGAAAAAAAAAAAAAAAAAAAAAAAAUGUCUGUCACACUUGUCUAGUUCGAAGACAAGAAGAAUACCAGUUUUUCGGUGUUUACUUGCAACAGACUUUCAAGGUCUUCCAUGAUCAUGUUUUUAGUUUAUUUUCGGAGGUUGGUAUUGGUCUAUCAGGUUCUUCUACAUGCUUGCAUCAUUCUAGUAAGUACCAUGUCAUGGUGUAUGAUGUCGUUCUUCGAUUUUGCAUUAUCUUGUGGUUGAGGGUUGUUUAUACUGUAUUCGGCUGUAAUUGGAAUCCUUAUGAUAAGUAGAAGUGUUUUCUUGUGAUGUCUCUCAAUAUUUGUUCUUGGUAGUUCUUUGGUAUAUUAUCUGACUGGUUGGGUGGUUCUUCAUUUUUCGGUGUAUAUAUAUAUAUAUAUAUAUUUUUAAAAAAAAAAAAAAAAAAAAAAAAAGGGUUCGUACGAACACUUUCAUGACGUUCGUACGUUUAGGUGGGCAGAUCUUUUUAACCGUACGAACGCUUCUAGGACGUACGAAUGUGAUCUUAGUCAGAUUGUUAGUUUUUGGGUCCCGACGUUCGACCGUGUUCAGAACGUACGAACGUCUGUCAUACAGUCCGGCCAAUUUGUGUUUAAAUUCAAAUUUUUUUUUGAACCAAAGGCUUACUGUUACAUCAAUCGUGCCCCUUUCUUCUCUCUUGCACGAACAUAGGAAGUCUUCACCUUCCCUCAAGGUCUUUUCUUUGGUCUUUCUCUUCUUCUUCUUCUUUGGUGGUUGUUUAUUGCUUCUCUCAAGCAACCUGUUUCUAUUUCUUUGGUAUUGAGCAUGUUCUUGGAUAUUGCUAUUUUCAUAUUAGUUCAAGUUGGUUUCCUUGUUUUGCAGUAAUUUUUUUUUUUGGUAAUGGACCUCUUAUUGGGCCCAUGAUAGGUUUACCCAUGUUUCCCCUAUAAAUAGGGGAGUCUUCUCCUCUUUUACUCCUGUUGUAUCUUCUUAUCUCUUGCUAGUUCUAUCUUUGUUCUUCAGAAUUUUCUAUGGCAGAAUAUGCACUUCAUGGAGUUUUUGUUCCGGCUGUUGGGUAUGUGUCGUUUAUGGUCAUGGAGUACAAAAACAAUGCUAAGGUUUGUCGUUUAUGUCGCGUUCCUCAUGGGUAUGACUAUGAUCAUCGACCUUUACUUCCUUCAUGCAUGGUUCAUGUCAAUCAUUGGGAGAGGCUACCGGGACAUCUUCAAAAUCACAUCUUGGAGUUGGUUGGAUACCCGAAGGUUCCAGGACUUGCUGCUCCUCUUACCGACUGUGGCUUGGACAGCAGAAUUGGGGAGUUAUUUUGUACGAGUGCUGAUAGUCCUGUGCCAACUCGGUGGAAUAGCUAUUCGGCUCGUGCGAAAGCUUUAUGUCCUAUCUUAAGCUUUAUGUUCAUAUGAUCGCUCGGUGGAUUAGACUUCGGCUCAUGCGCAAGCUUACUUCUCCAAGCUUCCUCUAGGUCGUUGGGAACGGGUUUUUCGAAUUCGUUAACUCAAGCCUUAUGUUUUUGUCGUUUUGUCUUUUAUGUUUAUGGAUUUUUCUGUUUGGUUAUUAGUUGACUUUCUGAACUUUUAACAGUUGGGUUCGGUUUAUCUUUUUAUCUGGUUUGUAUUCUUUGUUUGGUAUUGAUUUCUUCUUCUUGGUUAUUGGUUUAUUGUUGUUCUUUUCCUUUGUUGGUUGGUUAUUUUGCUCACUUGUUGUGACAAAAAGGGGGAGAUUUAUGACUCUGAUUACUAACAAUCGUCUUCUUGUUGUUAGGUUAUUUUUGGGUCAUGUUUCAGGUAUGCUACACGUAUGGGGGAGUGAACGUGUUGAUGAUUUUAGACGUUAUAUUGUUAUGGGGGAGUUCGAGUGUCAAAAAUAUUUUGGAGCUCAUGAAGUAUGGGGGAGUUGCUCGAAAGAACUUCUGUUGAAUCCUUGAUUGCUUCGGAAAUUUCUAGUUGCUUCCGUUCGAUCUCUGAUGGUUAAAGCAUCUUCCUAAAGCUGGAUAACAAGAAUUGGUGACUUGUUAUGUGUUUCUAUUUUGAGUGAUUUUGUAGGCAUGUUUUAUAAAUGCCAUGGUUUGGGAUUGUAAGCACGUUUUAUAAGUGCUAUUAGAGUCAUAGGUUUUUGUCACAAAAUCAAUGUCAAAGGGGGAGAUUGAAACCGGCACGAAGUGGUUUGACAUCAAUUUUGUGACAAAGUGUCUUUGGUUAUCUCGCCUUGAAUUCAUUGUUAGGAAAACCAAGAUGUACGCAUGGUCGUCUCGUGUCCUUUUGUCUCUUAGGUCUGUCCAGGAAAAGUUAUUAGGUUCUGGACGUACGUACCGGAUUAGGACGUACGUACGUCCACUGAAGCAGCAAACAUCUUUUGGUCAGGAUGUACGUACGCAGUUAGGACGUUCGUACAUCCAAGUAGGCAGCAGACGUGUUUUCGUAUGGAGACGUACGUACCGAGUUAGAGCGUUCAUACGUCAUGGUAGGCAGCAGGCUUAUUUUUGUGUGGCGACGUUCGAACGUCAUAUCGACGUACGAACGUCCAAAGUCGGUUUGCACUGUUUCGGCCCAUUUUCCUUGGUUUCCAACCCUAAGUAUAAAAAGGGUUUCUCUUCCAAAGAACAAGUCAGUUCUUUGGCCGUCCAUUCUUCUUCUAGUUCAUGUGUUUUGGUUAGGUUUUUGAUAUUGAAAGUGUUUGUGGCUAUUGAACUCAAUUCCCUUCCUUCCCCCUUUUCUCAAUUCAUAUUUUUGUGAUCUUCAAGAGUUAUUGUGAAUUCGGCUUCGAGUCUUCUUGUGUGUUCAUCAAGAAGUCGAGUGUCUUGUGCGUACAUCAAGGUGCUCUGGUGAAGUCAAGGUGUUAGAGAUAACCAGGAGUAUCAACUCUCAGUGAGUGCAGGUAGUUGAUAGGUUUGUACAUCUCUUUUCAUCUAGUGGAUUAUUUUGUUGUCGCGAGGACAACCGUGGACGUUUCCCUGUUUGGGUUUUACCACGUUAAAAAUCUCUGUGUGUUAUUUACUUUGCGUAUUGUUUGUUUGCUUGUUUGAAUUCACAUUUGUUAUACUAGCACUAUUUGUAGUUUCUCACUAUUGGUGUUCCGAAAGUACCUUUUCUGAUUCCCGUUCCCGUUCACGAAGAGAAAGAGAAAAAAAGAGAAAAAGAAAAUGAAAAUGGUGGCGAUUUGGGUUGACUUAUACAACCGACUUUAUCGAGAAAGAUUUUUUUUUUAGGCCAAGAGAUUGAUAGCGUGAUCGCAAACCAACUUGUUGGUCUUAUAGUAUUUCUCAGUAGAGAGAAUAAGAAAAAAAAUAUUUUUUUUGUAUAUAAAUUGUCCCGACGGAUGGAUACUACCCGGAUUGGGCCUUUUUG